AUUUAUUAAUUAAUUAAUUUAUGGCUGCUGGUGAUUUGUAAAGCCUCUACUCAGCUGUAUUUUUGUUACUAAUUUAUGUUUGUUGUUGUUUAACAAAGAUUUCAGAAGAGCAAAGAUGAGGACUCCUACUUCAUCCUUAAUAGUUUAACCUGAUUGGAAAUCAAAAACAUCCGGAUUCUUCUUCCACAGAAGUUUCAUUUGUCAGUGUGGAUCUGCUGAGUCACCUGAAGAAGUCAUUUCAUUCUCCACGAUGUUGAUUUACAGAAAUGUUUCACAGGAACUGAUUCCUCCCAAAGGGUACAGUACAUGAUAUUAAGGGCAGGCGGUCAUCACUGGGGGAAGACAAGAAGCAGACGUACUUCCAAGAGGGAGCUGCAGUGAGGACACAGCCUGGUCACUGAGGUCAGAGGAGGCGCUGAAAGGUUUCCCUAAUAGUUCCUGGUGAAUCAAAGCAGGACCAUAAAGGUUGCUGGACUGCAUGAUGGCCUUACCCCUGAGCAGUCAUCCUGUUAAAGGAGGAACCAGUUAGAAGCUGUUUUCA